AAAUGGACCUCGGAGGAAUUUGAACUCAUAGGAAGAAAAAACCUGUCUUGGAAUAAACUCAAAGACAUCCAUUAGACCUCGCUCUGAUUGCAGAAGAUUAAGGGUUAAGAUUUUAAAAGAUACAAAUGCAAAUAGUUAAACAAGGAUAACAUUUAUACUUCUGAUACUGACAAUCCAUAAAUGCUAUUAAAAUGUCAACUAGAUUAUAG